rnacentral:rRNA from 1 species
UCUUUCUUUGCUGGCGACCGGCGCACGGGUGAGUAACACGUAUCCAACCUGCCCUUUACUCGGGGAUAGCCUUUCGAAAGAAAGAUUAAUACCCGAUAGUAUAAUGAUUCCGCAUGGUUUCAUUAUUAAAGGAUUCCGGUAAAGGAUGGGGAUGCGUUCCAUUAGGUUGUUAGUGAGGUAACGGCUCACCAAGCCUUCGAUGGAUAGGGGUUCUGAGAGGAAGGUCCCCCACAUUGGAACUGAGACACGGUCCAA